rnacentral:rRNA from 1 species
UCGGGAAUUUUGGGCAAUGGGCGAAAGCCUGACCCAGCAACGCCGCGUGAGGGAUGAAGUAUUUCGGUAUGUAAACCUCGAAAGAAUGGGAAGAAUAAAUGACGGUACCAUUUAUAAGCUCCGGCUAACUACGUGCCAGCAGCCGCGGUAAUACGUAGGGAGCAAGCGUUGUUCGGAUUUACUGGGCGUAAAGGGCGCGUAGGCGGCGCGGUAAGUCACUUGUGAAAUCUCUGAGCUUAACUCAGAACGGCCAAGUGAUACUGCUGUGCUAGAGUGCGGAAGAGGCAACCGGAAUUCUUGGUGUAGCGGGGAAAUGCGUAGAUAUCAAGAGGAACACCGGAGGCGAAGGCGGGUUGCUGGGCCGACACUGACGCUGAUGCGCGAAAGCCAGGGGAGCAAACG